UGAAAUAUGAAAAUCAAAAUUAAGCUUCUAACUUAAAUUUUAAGCAGUGAAACUCUGUUUAUAUUUC
rnacentral:tRNA from 1 species